rnacentral:rRNA from 1 species
CUCAGGAUGUACGCUGGCGGCGUGCUUUAACACAUGCAAGUCGAACGUGAGAGGUAGCAAUUAUCUUGAAAGUGGCGCACGGGUGAGUAACACGUAGGUAACCUGCCUCGGAGUGGGGGAUAACAGUUAGAAAUGACUGCUAAUACCGCAUGAAUCCAUUAAGAUGGGAAUGUUGAUGGAGAAAACUCUGGUGCUUCGAGAGGGGCCUGCGGUCGAUUAGCUAGUUUGGCGGGGGUUAAACGGCCCACCAAGGCGACGAUCGAUAGCUGGUCUGAGAGGACGAUCAGCCACACGGGAACUGAGACACGGUCCCGACUCCUACGGGGGCAGCAGUGAGGAAUAUUGGGCAAUGGCGGAAGCCUGACCCAGCAACGCCGCGUGGAGGAAUGAAGGCCUUCGGGUUGUAAACUCCUUUGCAGGGGAAGAGGAAGGACGGUACCCUGCGAAUAAGUCACGGCUAACUACGUG